rnacentral:rRNA from 1 species
UACGUAGGGUGCAAGCGUUGUCCGGAAUUAUUGGGCGUAAAGAGCUCGUAGGCGGUUUGUUGCGUCGGAUGUGAAAACUCGGGGCUCAACCCCGAGACGCCAUCCGAUACUGCGAUGACUUGAGUCUGGUAGGGGAACACGGAAUUCCUGGUGUAGCGGUGAAAUGCGCAGAUAUCAGGAGGAACACCGAUGGCGAAGGCAGUGUUCUGGGCCAGUACUGACGCUGAGGAGCGAAAGCGUGGGGAGCAAACAGG